CCUGGUUUUCGUGUUCAACGUUUGACCGUCCGUCUUAUUUAAAAAAAUUAUAAAAAAAAUAAAAAGACAAGUCAUGCAUAAAGUAUUAAUCAUAUUUUAUCAUCUAACAAUAAUGAAAAUACUAAUUAUAAAAAAAAUUCAUAUAAGACAUACAAUCAAAUAUUGGACACGGAAAUCAAGGGUUUAUCUUUUU
rfam:Oryza sativa (indica cultivar-group) chromosome 3, whole genome shotgun sequence.